UGAAGAUGUGGUAUGAUUGCAAUUUGGAAAACUCUCCAAAAAACCAAAUGACAUAUAAAUUAACAGCUAUAGGUCACAAUUCUGCCUUCAAAAAUGAGUAAAACCCAUACCACAUACAUGUUACGUUAGCUAUAAAUUGGCCAAAAAAUGAAAAUUGUAAAAAAAUUCAGUCGAGAAAACAAACUGCCUAAUUCAUGUCCAAAAUAAUGAACAAAACAAAUAUGUUACACAGCAACAAACAUUAACCACUGAAUAACAGGCA
rnacentral:lncRNA from 1 species